GUGUGUUAUCUCUUUAGCAGACUGAAGCUCUCAAUUCAUUACAGCCUGCAGAAAGGAAGCAUGCAGAUUAGAAGAGCACCUAUUUGGUGUGCUUGUAGGAUACAGAGAUCUCAAUUUUAAAACCAUCCCUAUUCAAGCACACUAAUGUCUUCUCUGGAAUACAUCCCCACACCAAAACAGCUGGUACUGUGUGUGCUUCAUACUGACUGAUAGGGAAGAAGAUAUUCCCCAUACCAUCUUCUCCUGCCUGCUAAAGCAUCAAACAACCAAGGAUUGGAGAAAUCUUCUGUGGCUCCUCUUAUAUACCCUGAGGAAGUUUUGCCAGAGGUGAACUAGAUCUUGCUCAAGUGUUUGCAUAGGAAGUUGGCCACCUGGAGGAUGUGAGAAGGAGUUGAAUUUAGUAAGAUACGCUGCACGGAUAAAGCAUGAUGAGUCAAAGUGAGCAGUAUCUAGAGCAUGACCAAGGAACAGUAGAAUAAAGGAUUCAGCCUGAAAAGUCGUGUGUAUAUAUAUAUAUAUAUGGGCUCUCGCAGAGGAUGCUCAAGGAGGGGAUCCUGCAGUGCUAGAAGAAGGAAGAUGGGCUAGUAACAGACACAGCUCCACAGGAUGUAUGCACCUGUGUGUAUAUGACUGUUUGUGCAUACUGGAAAUUUUUUUUUGGACUAAUCAUGGAUAGGUUUUAGAAAUUUGUAUAUUUAACAGCUGAUGAAUGCCUAGUAAUGUGGUUUGUAUGCUGUUUUACUGAUAUUAAUCUUGAAUGCAUAGCUCUGUGAUUGCCAUUUAAUUUUUUAAUUAAGAAAAAAAAAAGAAAACAACUUAGAUGCCAAUCUGAGCUGAGCUAUGUGAGCAGAGCAGUUUAUUUUCUCAUUGCAUUCUAUGACUUCCAUAUCAAGUAUGGCUGGCAUGGGCACCAAUUAUAUUUGGUAGCACUCCAGGAAGCUCUG
ensembl:lncRNA